rnacentral:rRNA from 1 species
AACGAACGCUGGCGGCAGGCUUAACACAUGCAAGUCGAACGCAUGCCUUCGGGCAUGAGUGGCAGACGGGUGAGUAACGCGUGGGAACCUACCCCUUGGUACGGGAUAGCUCCGGGAAACUGGAGAUAAUACCGUAUGUGUCCUGAGGGACAAAGAUUCAUCGCCAAGGGAUGGGCCCGCGUCGGAUUAGCUAGUUGGUGGGGUAACGGCCUACCAAGGCGACGAUCCGUAGCUGGUCUAAGAGGAUGAUCAGCCACAUUGGGACUGAGACACGGCCCAAACUCCUACGGGAGGCAGCAGUGGGGAAUAUUGGGCAAUGGGCGCAAGCCUGAUCCAGCCAUGCCGCGUGAGUGAUGAAGGCCCUAGGGUUGUAAAGCUCUUUCACCGGUGACGAUAAUGACGGUAACCGGAGAAGAAGCCCCGGCUAACUUCGUG